GACAGGCUAUCCUGGAAGUAGUGGAUCAGGAGUUGAUCGUUGUCAGUCUGAGUCGACAUCUUGCAUGCAUACAUCACAAGAUGGUUGAGCGGGCAAGUGUUUCAUUUGUACUUUUCAAAGUCAGGACUUUGAAUUUGAUAGGAAUCUUGACAUUAGGUACGAGGCAUAGCUCAGCAGCAGAUUUGCCGAAGAGGUCCUUCCCUCUGAGAGUUUUAAGUUCCUUGCGCAGCUCAAGGAAUUGAUCAUUCAUAGCGUCC
rnacentral:lncRNA from 1 species